AACGAACGCUGGCGGCAUGCCUAACACAAGCAAGUCGAACGAAGGCUUCGGCCUUAGUGGCGCACGGGUGCGUAACGCGUGGGAAUCUGCCCCUCGGUUCGGAAUAACAGUUAGAAAUGACUGCUAAUACCGGAUGAUGACUUCGGUCCAAAGAUUUAUCGCCGAGGGAUGAGCCCGCGUAAGAUUAGGUAGUUGGUGGGGUAAAGGCCUACCAAGCCGACGAUCUUUAGCUGGUCUGAGAGGAUGAUCAGCCACACUGGGACUGAGACACGGCCCAGACUCCUACGGGAGGCAGCAGUGGGGAAUAUUGGACAAUGGGCGAAAGCCUGAUCCAGCAAUGCCGCGUGAGUGAUGAAGGCCUUAGGGUUGUAAAGCUCUUUUACCAGGGAUGAUAAUGACAGUACCUGGAGAAUAAGCUCCGGCUAACUCCGUGCCAGCCGCCGCAGUAA
rnacentral:rRNA from 1 species